GGAGAAUUACCCAAGUGGUUGAAGGGACCGGUCUUGAAAACCGGAAGGGGAUGCAAGUCCCGCUAGGGUUCGAAUCCCUAAUUCUCCGCCA
rnacentral:tRNA from 2 species